CCUACGGCGGCAGUGGGGAAUAUUGGACAAUGGGCGAAAGCCUGAUCCAGCCAUGCCGCGUGUGUGAAGAAGGCCUUCGGGUUGUAAAGCACUUUCAGUGGGGAAGAAAGCCUUGGGGCGAAUACCCUCGAGGAAGGACAUCACCCACAGAAGAAGCACCGGCUAACUCCGUGCCAGCAGCAGCGGUAAUACGGAGGGUGCGAGCGUUAAUCGGAAUUACUGGGCGUAAAGCGCGCGUAGGCGGUCUGAUAAGCCGGUUGUGAAAGCCCCGGGCUCAACCUGGGAACGGCAUCCGGAACUGUCAGGCUAGAGUGCAGGAGAGGAAGGUAGAAUUCCCGGUGUAGCGGUGAAAUGCGUAGAGAUCGGGAGGAAUACCAGUGGCGAAGGCGGCCUUCUGGACUGACACUGACGCUGAGGUGCGAAAGCGUGGGUAGCAAACAGGAUUAGAUACCCUGGUAGUC
rnacentral:rRNA from 1 species